GAUGAAGAACGUAGCGAAAUGCGAUACGUAGUGUGAAUUGCAGAAUUCAGUGAAUCAUCGAAUCUUUGAACGCACAUUGCGCCCUUUGGUAUUCCAAAGGGCAUGCCUGUUCGAGCGUCAUUUGUACCCUCAAGCUCUGCUUGGUGUUGGGCGUCUUUUGUCUCCAGUUCGCUGGAGACUCGCCUUAAAGUCAUUGGCAGCCGGCCUACUGGUUUCGGAGCGCAGCACAAGUCGCGCUCUUAGCCAGCCAAGGUCAGCGUCCAGCAAGCCUUUUUUCAACCUUUGACCUCGGAUCAGGUAGGGAUACCCGCUGAACUUAAGCAUAUCAAUAAGCGGAGGA
rnacentral:misc_RNA from 1 species